rnacentral:rRNA from 1 species
GGCGGCAUGCCUAACACAUGCAAGUCGAACGAGACCUUCGGGUCUAGUGGCGCACGGGUGCGUAACGCGUGGGAAUCUGCCCUUGGGUUCGGAAUAACAGCUAGAAAUGGCUGCUAAUACCGGAUGAUGACGUAAGUCCAAAGAUUUAUCGCCCAAGGAUGAGCCCGCGUAGGAUUAGCUAGUUGGUGAGGUAAAGGCUCACCAAGGCGACGAUCCUUAGCUGGUCUGAGAGGAUGAUCAGCCACACUGGGACUGAGACACGGCCCAGACUCCUACGGGAGGCAGCAGUGGGGAAUAUUGGACAAUGGGCGAAAGCCUGAUCCAGCAAUGCCGCGUGAGUGAUGAAGGCCUUAGGGUUGUAAAGCUCUUUUACCCGGGAUGAUAAUGACAGUACCGGGAGAAUAAGCUCCGG